GUGAGGAAUAUUGGUCAAUGGGCGGGAGCCUGAACCAGCCAAGUCGCGUGAAGGAAGAAGGAUCUAUGGUUCGUAAACUUCUUUUGCAGGGGAAUAAAGUGCGGGACGUGUACUGUUUUGUAUGUACCCUGAGAAUAAGGAUCGGCUAACUCCGUGCCAGCAGCCGCGGUAAUACGGAGGAUCCGAGCGUUAUCCGGAUUUAUUGGGUUUAAAGGGUGCGUAGGUGGUUUGAUAAGUCAGCGGUGAAAGUUUUCAGCUUAACUGUAAAAAUGCCGUAGAAACUGUCGGACUUGAGUGUAAAUGAGGUAGGCGGAAUGCGUGGUGUAGCGGUGAAAUGCAUAGAUAUCACGCAGAACUACGAUUGCGAAGGCAGCUUACUAAGCUACAACUGACACUGAAGCACGAAAGCGUGGGGAUCAAACAGGAUUAGAAACCCCGGUAGUCC
rnacentral:rRNA from 1 species